CCUACGGGUGGCAGCAGUAGGGAAUAUUGCGCAAUGGACGAAAGUCUGACGCAGCAACGCCGCGUGGAGGAUGAAGGUUUUCGGAUUGUAAACUCCUUUUGUUGGAGAAGAUCAUGACGGUAUAUCCCUUAUAUGCACCGCGUAACUCCGUGCCAGCAGCCGCGGUAAUACGGAGGGUGCACGCGUUACUCGGAAUGACUGGGCGUAAAGAGCGCGUAGGCGGGAUAGCAAGUCAGAUGUGAAAUCCUCAGGCUUAACCUGAGAACUGCAUUUGAAACUGUUAUUCUAGAGUAUGGGAGAGGUAGUGGGAAUUCCUGGUGUAGGGGUAAAAUGCGUAGAGAUCAAGAAGAACACUCAUUGCGAAGGCGAACGGCUAGAAGACAACUGACGGUGAUGCGCGAAAGCGUGGGGAGCAAACAGGAUUAGAUACCCCAGUAGUC
rnacentral:rRNA from 1 species